AUGAGGAGUCAUUCAAGUCGGACGAAGAGAGCGAGGAUGAGGACGACGACGAAGACAAUGAAUCAGAACAAGACAGUGGUAACUCGGGGGAUGACAACGGAGAUGACUGUUCAGAUGAUGAUGAUGACAACACCAGUCAUGGAGGCAAUGUCAGACACAAUUCUGCUGAGGAUGAUGCCAAUAAGGAUAAUGACGAGACAGAGAAAGUUGGUGAAGAUGAGGACAGUGAGGACCAAGUCAAGAAGUGUGGAGGCAAGAAAAACGAUGAUGGAAAUGGAGAUGAUGAGGACCAUGGCGGAGGAGCCAAUAUAG
rnacentral:rRNA from 1 species